UACGUAGGGUGCAAGCGUUGUCCGGAAUUAUUGGGCGUAAAGAGCUCGUAGGCGGUUUGUCGCGUCGAAUGUGAAAACUCGGGGCUUAACCCCGGGCCUGCAGUGGGUACGGGCAGACUAGAGUGCGGUAGGGGAGACUGGAAUUCCUGGUGUAGCGGUGAAAUGCGCAGAUAUCAGGAGGAACACCGGUGGCGAAGGCGGGUCUCUGGGCCGUAACUGACGCUGAGGAGCGAAAGCAUGGGGAGCGAACAGG
rnacentral:rRNA from 1 species